rnacentral:rRNA from 1 species
UCAAGGCUGAGGCGUGAUGACGAGGCACUACGGUGCUGAAGCAACAAAUGCCCUGCUUCCAGGAAAAGCCUCUAAGCAUCAGGUAACAUCAAAUCGUACCCCAAACCGACACAGGUGGUCAGGUAGAGAAUACCAAGGCGCUUGAGAGAACUCGGGUGAAGGAACUAGGCAAAAUGGUGCCGUAACUUCGGGAGAAGGCACGCUGACACGUAGGUGAAGUGAUUUACUCAUGGAGCUGAAGUCAGUCGAAGAUACCAGCUGGCUGCAACUGUUUAUUAAAAACACAGCACUGUGCAAACACGAAAGUGGACGUAUACGGUGUGACGCCUGCCCGGUGCCGGAAGGUUAAUUGAUGGGGUCAGCGCAAGCGAAGCUCCUGAUCGAAGCCCCGGUAAACGGCGGCCGUAACUAUAACGGUCCUAAGGUAGCGAAAUUCCUUGUCGGGUAAGUUCCGACCUGCACGAAUGGCGUAAUGAUGGCCAGGCUGUCUCCACCCGAGACUCAGUGAAAUUGAACUCGCUGUGAAGAUGCAGUGUACCCGCGGCAAGACGGAAAGACCCCGUGAACCUUUACUAUAGCUUGACACUGAACAUUGAGCCUUGAUGUGUAGGAUAGGUGGGAGGCUUUGAAGUGUGGACGCCAGUCUGCAUGGAGCCGACCUUGAAAUACCACCCUUUAAUGUUUGAUGUUCUAACGUGGACCCGUUACCCGGGUUGCGGACAGUGUCUGGUGGGUAGUUUGACUGGGGCGGUCUCCUCCUAAAGAGUAACGGAGGAGCACGAAGGUUGGCUAAUCCUGGUCGGACAUCAGGAGGUUAGUGCAAUGGCAUAAGCCAGCUUGACUGCGAGCGUGACGGCGCGAGCAGGUGCGAAAGCAGGUCAUAGUGAUCCGGUGGUUCUGAAUGGAAGGGCCAUCGCUCAACGGAUAAAAGGUACUCCGGGGAUAACAGGCUGAUACCGCCCAAGAGUUCAUAUCGACGGCGGUGUUUGGCACCUCGAUGUCGGCUCAUCACAUCCUGGGGCUGAAGUAGGUCCCAAGGGUAUGGCUGUUCGCCAUUUAAAGUGGUACGCGAGCUGGGUUUAGAACGUCGUGAGACAGUUCGGUCCCUAUCUGCCGUGGGCGCUGGAGAACUGAGGGGGGCUGCUCCUAGUACGAGAGGACCGGAGUGGACGCAUCACUGGUGUUCGGGUUGUCAUGCCAAUGGCACUGCCCGGUAGCUAAAUGCGGAAGAGAUAAGUGCUGAAAGCAUCUAAGCACGAAACUUGCCCCGAGAUGAGUUCUCCCUGAGACUUAGAGUCUCCUGAAGGAACGUUGAAGACGACGACGUUGAUAGGCCGGGUGUGUAAGCGCAGCGAUGCGUUGAGCUAACCGGUACUAAUGAACCGUGAGGCUUAACCUUACAACGCCGAAG